rnacentral:rRNA from 1 species
ACUCCUACGGGAGGCAGCAGUAGGGAAUCUUCCACAAUGGGCGAAAGCCUGAUGGAGCAACGCCGCGUGGGUGAAGAAGGUCUUCGGAUCGUAAAACCCUGUUGUUAGAGAAGAAAGUGCGUGAGAGUAACUGUUCACGUUUCGACGGUAUCUAACCAGAAAGCCACGGCUAACUACGUGCCAGCAGCCGCGGUAAUACGUAGGUGGCAAGCGUUAUCCGGAUUUAUUGGGCGUAAAGGGAACGCAGGCGGUCUUUUAAGUCUGAUGUGAAAGCCUUCGGCUUAACCGGAGUAGUGCAUUGGAAACUGGGAGACUUGAGUGCAGAAGAGGAGAGUGGAACUCCAUGUGUAGCGGUGAAAUGCGUAGAUAUAUGGAAGAACACCAGUGGCGAAAGCGGCUCUCUGGUCUGUAACUGACGCUGAGGUUCGAAAGCGUGGGUAGCAAAC